rnacentral:rRNA from 1 species
CGCAAGCCUGACGGAGCAAGACCGCGUGAGGGAGGAAGGCUUUUGGGUUGUAAACCUCUUUUAUUGGGGAAGAAGAACUGACGGUACCCAAUGAAUCAGCAUCGGCUAACUCCGUGCCAGCAGCCGCGGUAAUACGGAGGAUGCAAGCGUUAUCCGGAAUUAUUGGGCGUAAAGGGUCCGCAGGUGGUGAAUCAAGUCUGCUGUCAAAGCGUGGAGCUUAACUCCAUAAAGGCAGUGGAAACUGAUUGACUAGAGUUCGGUAGGGGUCACGGGAAUUCCCAGUGUAGCGGUGAAAUGCGUAGAUAUUGGGAAGAACACCAGCGGCGAAAGC